ACCUAUUUUAAUCUUGAGUGUCGAAGCAAUCAAACUUGGGAGAGCCUUUACUUGUUGAAAUGUAAACUUGUGAUAGUGAGAUCAAUCCAAACUACGAGAGGGUGAAGACUACAGCUGUGUAAAGUCCUAAUCUUAAAACACAACCCCGAGAAAAUUGAGUGAAAAUAAUAAGUUUGGGGGGAUUGUGUACCUCUCAAGCGAGUAAGGAUACAUUUGACCACUUGGGGUCGGACUCAACCCAUCAUGAAUUUGAUAUGUUGGCAUGAAUUUACACACAUACGUCAAAUAUGCAUUUAACAGGGAAAGGUUGAUGUCAUUUUUGCACUGAUAAAUUUUCAUAAAGUCAAAUACUUAGCCCAAUCCUGAGCCACAACAAGGUAUUAAGCCAUGUUUGUUCAGAAUUAAAUCACUAUGUUGUUUGAAGACAAACAAUAGUUCAAGUUUGGGGGGUUUGAUAAGUGCGUUUUUGCACACUUAUUUUGAUCACAAACAUGC
rnacentral:lncRNA from 1 species